rnacentral:rRNA from 1 species
UACGGAGGGUGCAAGCGUUAAUCGGAAUUACUGGGCGUAAAGCGCGCGUAGGCGGAUACUUAAGUCGAUUGUGAAAGCCCUGGGCUCAACCUGGGAACUGCAGUCGAUACUGGGUAUCUAGAGUAUGGUAGAGGUAUGUGGAAUUCCCGGUGUAGCGGUGAAAUGCGUAGAGAUCGGGAGGAACACCAGUGGCGAAGGCGGCAUACUGGACCAAUACUGACGCUGAGGUGCGAAAGCGUGGGGAGCAAACAGG